ensembl:lncRNA
AACACCUUCCACACCUAUAAUUUUUGCAAGAGCCUCAGAAAAAGAAUAGCACCAUAGCUGAAACAAUGGUUGAGACGUCACAAAAUUGGAUAAAUACAGUAAUUCUGAGUGAAUUUCCCAAGUUAAAGAAAAUCAGAAACAGUAACUUCCGUUUUUGAACUCAUGACCAUCAAAAGCUGAAUCAUGUGAAUCACUCAAUACCAUAAUUUCAAAGAAUUCACUGCAAAUAAAAAAAACUCUGGCACAUGCCUCCAAUAUCUGAAAAAAUAUAUUGUGCACAUACACAUUGAAUGCAUUUGCAGAUGUAUCAUAUAUAAAUACACAAUGUAAAUACGCAUAUGCACAUAAAUGUAAUGAUUACUCUGUGUGAAGAGUAUUGUUUAAUGAAAAAAAUGUAAACCAUCAACUUGUAAUGUUAUUUAAAGGUUCUUGGUAAAAAAAAAAGCAAACAUGCUUGAGUUCCUAUAAAAAAGCCAAAGUAUAUUUGGAUGUUCGAUUGCUCUGCAUUAUUUAUAUGAUUGUAUCUGAUAUUCUUUUUCUUGUUUUAAAGUCAGCACCUGAAACACUCCUGAAAAGGGCAAAUUCUUUGUACCUUACCUUUAAAGGGCUGAACCACAAUGCACAGCUCAGCCUUAUCCUAGACAGCCUCCAAGCUGAGAAGCCAACAAACCAAACAACCAAGAUUGUAAACAAGUAGGAGGAGAAAGAUAUGAGUGUUUAUUACAUACAAGAAACAAAAAAUUGAAUUCUACAGCUGUUGCAGAGAAAGCAGCUGAAUCUGCUGAAGGCAGCUGAAGUUGUUUAGAGCAGAUGUAGUGUGUUAACCACUGAGAUGUUUCUUGCCUAGAUGGAAAAAGAUUUUAUACUGACUGUCAUUCAGGACAUUUCAUGAAGAGUACCUCCCAGAUUGGAAAUAAUUUGCUAUUGCAUAGCAUUAGAUAAGUGGGUGAAAAGGCACAGCCUGCGUCAGGCAAUACCUAGUUUGCACAAAGAUAGCUUUGAAAUUGAGGAUGGAUUCAGAUGAAGAAUAAGUAAAAACAAACUGUUAAAUUUUGAUAAUUCCUCUGAGAAAUGUAAGAAAGCUUCAAAGGAAAAGCAAUAGGAAUUAUAUCAUUCAAUAAUAGGAUGUUGAUUCUUCAGUAAGACAUGAAGUGUUGGAAAACACUACAAAUUCAUGCCCAAAAGAGGGUUAUCUAGUGACCUCAUACUUCACAGAUACUUUUGUGCAGACAGUGAGGGAGCAAGAAAGAAACAGCAUUCCUGAACUGCAGAAAACAAGCUACUGCUGUCACAGAGAGCUUGUGGAUGAGACCAUUCCCAUGCUAAUGAAAUAGUGAAUCUACAGAAGAGCCUUUUCUCCAAGAUGAACAGAAAGGCUUCAGUUGACUUCGCUGGUUCAAACUUUUGCACAAUGGCUGUAGAAUAAUGGACUAAGUGAAUGGAAGAUGAAUAAAUGGUAAAUGGGCAAAAAAUGACUGAAUAAAGUCAUGACAAGGUACA